CGGCCGCCGCCUCCCGGCUGCGGACGCCCGAGAGCAGGUUGUUGUUUUUAUGAGAGGCGUCACUGGCGCCUGGAGCUGUGACUGCCGCCACCGUGACAGCCAGUGCCGUCUGGCGAAGGUGGCGCUGCCCCUUCAGAUCUGAAAAAUGUCUGAAAAUUCCAGUGACAGUGAUUCAUCUUGUGGUUGGACUGUCAUCAAUCAUGAGGGGUCUGAUGUUGAGAUGGUGAAUUCUGUCACACCCAGUGACAACUGUGAACUCACUCCAGCAUGUUCGUCUUUAGGGCAAGAGGAGCUACAAGUAUUGCAGAUGGGACAACGAGAAGGCAGCCAAAACAGCAUAGUGUUAAUGGAGGAAAGUACUUAUCCAGCUUUGGAAGAAACUAAAUCAGAGAUUGAGGCAGAGGAAGAAAAGUUACCUGAUGACAAUGUCUAUUUUGGAACUGCCAGUGAUGAUUCGGAUAUUGUUACUCUAGAGCCACCUAAGUUAGAAGAAAUUGGAAUUCAAGAAGCUGUAAUUGUUGAAGAAGCACAGAGUCCAGAAGACUUUAAUAUGGGUUCUUCCUCUAGCAGUCAGUAUGCAUUCUGUCAGCCAGAAACUGUAUUUUCGUCUCAGCCUAGUGAUGAUGAGUCGAGUAGUGAUGAAACCAGUAAUCAGCCCAGUCCUGCCUUUAGACGACGCCGAGCAAGGAAGAAAACUGUUUCUACUUCAGAAUCUGAAGAACGGCUCCUUGGUGAACAAGAAACGGAACCUUCUAAGGAGCUGAGUAAACGCCAGUUCAGUAGUGGGCUCAAUAAGUGUGUUAUACUUGCUUUGGUGAUUGCAGUCAGCAUGGGAUUUGGACAUUUCUAUGGCACAAUUCAAAUUCAGAAGCGUCAACAGUUAGUCAGGAAGAUACAUGAAGAUGAAUUGAAUGAUAUGAAGGAUUAUCUUUCCCAGUGUCAACAGGAACAAGAUUCUUUUAUAGAUUAUAAGUCACUGAAAGAAAACCUUGCGAGGUGCUGGACCCACACUGAAGCAGAGAAGAUGUCUUUCGAAACUGAGAAAAAGAACCUUGCUACAGAAAAUCAGUAUUUAAGAAUGUCUCUAGAGAAGGAAGAAAAGGCCUUAUCUUCAUUACAGGAAGAAUUAAGGAAACUAAGAGAACAGAUAAGAAUGUUGGAAGAUGAAGGGGCAAGUACUGAAUUAGUUACAGAAAAUCAGAAACUUAAGGAGAUUUUGGAAGAUGAAAAGCAAAAAACACAGAGCUUUCUGAAACAAAAGGAGACUGUGUUGGCAGAAGCAAAGAUGCUAAAGAGGGAACUGGCAAAAGAACGAAUGAUCAGCAUGGCUUUAAGGGAAGAACUCCAGCAGUUAAGUUCUAGUCAGUCUCAGGACAACUCAGAUUCCCCCAAUGUUCUGACUGAAAAGAAGGAAGUAGCAGUCUUAAGGGAAAGACUCACUGAGCUGGAGCAGAAGUUGAACUUUGAACAGCAGCGUUCUGAUUUGUGGGAAAGACUGUAUGUUGAGGCAAAAGAUCAAACUGGAAAACAAGAAACUGAGGGAAAAAAGAAAGGAAGGGGAAACCACAGGGCUAAAAAUAAGUCAAAGGAGACAUUUUUGGGUUCAGUAAAGGAAACUUUUGAUGCCAUGAAGAAUUCUACCAAGGAGUUUGUGAGGCAUCAUAAAGAAAAAAUUAAGCAGGCAAAAGAAGCUGUGAAAGAAAAUCUGAAAAAGUUCUCAGACUCAGUUAAGUCCACUUUCCGACAUUUUAAAGAUACCACCAAGAAUAUCUUUGAUGAAAAGGGUAAUAAAAGAUUUGGUUCAGCAAAAGAAGCAGCAGCUGAAAAACCAAGAACAGUUUUUAAUGACUAUUUACAUCCACAGUACAAGGCACCUACACCGAAUCAGAAUAGUCGAGGCCCUUCUAUGCGAAGAGAUGGAAGGAAAGAAAAGCCAAUUCACUUUGAAGACUUUAGAAAAAAUACAAAUUCACAGAAAUGCAGUGCCAAUCAUAACUGUAGGGAAAAUCAUUCUUUCAGAAAGGCUUGUUCUAGUGUGUUUGAAUGUGCUCAAGAAGAAUCCAUUAAUGCUUUCAACAUAGUGGCGAAUCCUGUAAGGAUAGAUGAAUUUAGACAGUUAAUUGAAAGGUACUUAAUAAAAGAGCUGGAUGCUUUUCAUCAUUGGAAAGAACUCGAUCAGUUCCUCAAUAAGUUUUUCCUAAAUGGUGUCUUUAUUCAUGAUCAGAAGCUCUUCACUGACUUUGUUAAUGAUGUUAAAGACUAUCUUAAAGACAUGAAGGAAUACCAAGUAGAUAAUGAAGGAGUAUUUGAGAAGCUGGACGGAUAUAUAUAUAGACACUUCUUUGGUCACACUUUUCCCCCUCCAUAUGGACCCAGUCGACCUGAUAAAAAGCAACGUAUGGUAAAUAUUGAAAACUCGAGGCAUCGAAAACAAGAGCAGAAGCACCUUCAACCACAGCCUUAUAAAAGGGAAGGUAAAUGGCAAAAAUACAGUCGAACUAAUGGACGACAUAUGGCAAAUCUUGAAAUAGAAUUGGGGCAAUUACCUUUUGAUCCUAAAUAUUGAAGCAUGGAUGCUUUCUACAGUGGUGUUAAAACUAAGAUGAAAUUAGUGAAGAUGACAAUGUGUCCCCCCCCCACCCCCCAUUUCUAAGUAUCAGUUAAAUGGCUUUAUAUUACUCAUGAGCAUCAGUCAAAAGCUUACUAACCUGCAUUUCCUGUAGUUUAGCUUUGUUGGAUUUUUUUUUUUAAGGGCACUGGAGAUGUUCAGUUGUAGUCUUAUGCAGGAAGCAGGCAUGCAACAGAUUUUGUGCAUGAAAUGAGACUUGCACAGUGUAUUAGCUUAAAGCAAGCUCAAAUCGUACAUGACAAAGUGUAACUGACACUGAUGUUUGUAUUAAGUUUGCAGUAGAGCUUGAAAAAGUACAUUGUGAUGGAAAUUCAUCUUUAACAGUUUAUAAUCUCACACUUGCUUCUUGUCUUUUGUGGGUUCAAGAGCCCGUUGACUUAUGAAGAAUUUGCUGCCCUUUUAUGAGCUUGCUGACUUGUUCUCUUGUGAAAUGUCUUGCACAUCUGAAUAUUGUGGAGGAAACAAUAAAACCACACCAUGAGGAAAACUAAAGACAUAUAUGUGACUUCCAGUUCGACCCUCCGGCAAGUGAGUGUGGAAGAAAACAGCAGUUCUCUCAUAAUUACUUGAAAUUAGGAAAGCACUUAUUUCCUAAAAAUAAAAGUUUAAGUAAAUAAAGGCUGCAUUUUACUGAG